rnacentral:misc_RNA from 1 species
GAUGAAGAACGCAGCGAAAUGCGAUAAGUAAUGUGAAUUGCAGAAUUCAGUGAAUCAUCAAAUCUUUGAACGCACAUUGCGCCCCUUGGUAUUCCGAGGGGCAUGCCUGUUCGAGCGUCAUCUUAACCACUCCCGCUUGCGGGGUCUUGGGCUUCGCCUCCGGGCGGGCCUUAAAAUCAGUGGCGGUGCCGUCGGGCUCUACGCGUAGUAAAUUUUCUCGCGAUAGGGUCCCGGUGGAUGCUUGCCAACAACCCCCAACUUCUUAAGGUUGACCUCGGAUCAGGUAGGGAUACCCGCUGAACUUAAGCAUAUCAAUAAGCGGAGGA